rnacentral:rRNA from 1 species
AACGCUAAUACCGCAUAAGACCACACUUCCACAUGGGAGAGGGGUCAAAGGAGCAAUCCGCUGAAAGAUGGGCUCGCGUCCGAUUAGAUAGUUGGGGGGGUAACGGCCCACCAAGUCGACGAUCGGUAGCCGGACUGAGAGGUUGAACGGCCACAUUGGGACUGAGACACGGCCCAGACUCCUACGGGAGGCAGCAGUGAGGGAUAUUGGUCAAUGGGGGAAACCCUGAACCAGCAACGCCGCGUGAGGGAAGACGGUUUUCGGAUUGUAAACCUCUGUCCUCUGUGAAGAUAAUGACGGUAGCAGAGGAGGAAGCUCCGGCUAACUACGUGCCAGCAGCCGCGGUAAUACGUAGGGAGCGAGCGUUGUCCGGAUUUACUGGGUGUAAAGGGUGCGUAGGCGGGUAAGCAAGUCAGAAGUGAAAUCCAUGGGCUUAACCCAUGAACUGCUUUUGAAACUGUUUAUCUUGAGUGAAGUAGAGGUAGGCGGAAUUCCCGGUGUAGCGGUGAAAUGCGUAGAGAUCGGGAGGAACACCAGUGGCGAAGGCGGCCUACUGGGCUUUAACUGACGCUGAAGCACGAAAGCGUGGGUAGCAAACAGGAUUAGAUACCCUGGUAGUCCAUGCCGUAAACCA